rnacentral:rRNA from 1 species
UACGGAGGAUCCGAGCGUUAUCCGGAUUUAUUGGGUUUAAAGGGUGCGUAGGUGGAUUGGUAAGUCAGUGGUGAAAGUUUGCAGCUUAACUGUAAAAUUGCCGUUGAAACUGCUGGUCUUGAGUGCAAAUGAGGUAGGCGGAAUGCGUCGUGUAGCGGUGAAAUGCUUAGAUAUGACGCAGAACUCCGAUUGCGAAGGCAGCUUACUAAACUACUACUGACGCUCAGGCACGAAGGCGUGGGGAUCAAACAGGAUUAGAUACCCCGGUA